rnacentral:rRNA from 1 species
UACGUAGGGGGCAGCGUUGUCGAAUCAUUGGCGUAAAGAGCGUGUAGGCGGCCCGAUUAAGUCCGCUGUGAAAGUCCAAGGCUCAACCCGUGGGAUGCCGGUGAUACUGUCGGGUCGAGUCCGGAAGAGGAGUGUGGGAAAUUCCUGGUGUAGCGGGUGAAAUGACGCAGAUAUCAAGGAGGAACACCGGUGGCGAAGGCGGGACUCGUGGGCCGACUGACUCUGAGGAGCGAAAGCGUGGGGGAGCAAA